rnacentral:rRNA from 1 species
GAUGAACGCUGGCGGCGUGCCUAAUACAUGCAGGUAGAACGCUGAAGGAAGGAGCUUGCUCUUUCCGGAUGAGUUGCGAACGGGUGAGUAACGCGUAGGUAACCUGCCUGGUAGCGGGGGAUAACUAUUGGAAACGAUAGCUAAUACCGCAUAAUAGUAGGUGUUGCAUGAUAUCUACUUAAAAGGUGCAAUUGCACCACUACCAGAUGGACCUGCGUUGUAUUAGCUAGUUGGUGAGGUAACGGCUCACCAAGGCGACGAUACAUAGCCGACCUGAGAGGGGGAUCGGCCACACUGGGACGGAGACACGGCCCAGAGUCCUACGGGAGGCAGCAGAAGGGAAUCGUCGGCAAUGGGCGGGAGUCUGACCGAGCAACGCCGCGUGAGUGAAGAAGGUUUUCGGAUCGUAAAGCUCUGUUGUAAGAGAAGAACGAGUGUGAGAGUGGAAAGUUCACACUGUGACGGUAUCUUACCAGAAAGGGACGGCUAACUACGUG